UCCCGUGUGGCUCAGUUGGUAGAGCAUGGUGUUUACAACGCCAGGGUUGUGGGUUUGUUUCCCACAGGGGAC
rnacentral:tRNA from 1 species